AGUGAACGCUGGCGGUAUGCCUAACACAUGCAAGUCGAACGGCAGCACAGUAAGAGCUUGCUCUUACGGGUGGCGAGUGGCGGACGGGUGAGGCAUACAUCGGAAUCUACUUUUUCGUGGGGGAUAACGUAGGGAAACUUACGCUAAUACCGCAUACGACCUACCGGUGAAAUCAGGGGAUCUUCGCACCUUUCGCGAUUGUAUUAGCCGAGGUCGGAUUAGCUGGUUGGCUGGGUAAAGUCCCGCCAUGCCGACGAUCCGUAGCUGGUCUGACGGGAGGGUCAGCCACACUGAACCUGAGACAGGGUCCAGACUCCUACGGGAGGCAGCAGUGGGGAAUAUUGGAAAAUGGGCGCAAGCCUGAGCCAGACAUACCGCGUGGGUGAAGAAGGCCUUCGAGUUGUAAAGCCCGUUUGUUGGGAAAGAAAAGCAGCAGGUUAAUACCCCGCUGUUCUGACGGAACCCAAAGAAUAAGCACGGGCAAACUUCGU
rnacentral:rRNA from 1 species